rnacentral:rRNA from 1 species
UAGGGAAUAUUGGACAAUGGGCGCAAGCCUGAUCCAGCCAUGCCGCGUGAGUGAAGAAGGCCCUCGGGUUGUAAAGCUCUUUUGUCCGGAAAGAAAAAGCAUCGGGCUAAUACCCUGGUGUUCUGACGGUACCGGAAGAAUAAGCACCGGCUAACUUCGUGCCAGCAGCCGCGGUAAUACGAAGGGUGCAAGCGUUACUCGGAAUUACUGGGCGUAAAGCGUGCGUAGGUGGUUUGUUAAGUCUGAUGUGAAAGCCCUGGGCUCAACCUGGGAAUGGCAUUGGAAACUGGCGGACUCGAGUGCGGUAGAGGGGUGUGGAAUUCCCGGUGUAGCAGUGAAAUGCGUAGAGAUCGGGAGGAACACCAGUGGCGAAGGCGACACCCUGGACCAGCACUGACACUGAGGCACGAAAGCGUGGGGAGCAAACAGGAUUAGAUACCCUGGUAGUCCACGCCCUAAACGAUGCGAACUGGAUGUUGGGUGCAACUUGGCACUCAGUAUCGAAGCUAACGCGUUAAGUUCGCCGCCUGGGGAGUACGGUCGCAAGACUGAAACUCAAAGGAAUUGACGGGGUCAUAGCUGUUUCCU